AUGUGCAGGGCUGCGACGUAUCUGUUCUGCUGUCUGGCAUGGAACAAAACGCUAUCCCACGCGGGGUCGCUGAGGGGCUUCGGCGUCAUCGACAGCAUCAAGACGCAGAUCGAGGCCAUCUGUAAUCAGACCGUCUCUUGCGCUGACAUCCUCACCGUGGCCACCCGCGACUCCGUUGUCGCCCUCGGGGGGCCGUCAUGGACAGUCCCUUUGAGAAGAGAUUCCAUAGAUGCAAACGAGGCGGAGGCAAACAGCGACCUUCCAGGCUUUAAUUCUAGCCGCUCAGAGCUCGAGGCGGCAUUCCUCAGGAAGGGCGGCCUCAAUACGGUCGACAUGGUGGCCCUCUCGGGCGCGCACACCAUCGGCCAGGCGCAGUGCUCAACCUUCCGAGCUCGGAUCUACGGCGGUGAUACCAACAUCAACGCGGCCUACGCGGCGUCGCUUAGGGCCAACUGCCCCAGACAGUCGGCUCCGGUGACGGCAGCCUGGCGAACCUGGACACGACGACACCCAACGCGUUCGACAACGCCUACUACACCAACCUCAUAUCACAGAGGGGGCUCCUGCACUCGGACCAGGUGCUGUUCAACAACUACACCACUGACAACACUGUCCGGAACUUUGCUUCGAACCCGGCAGCGUUCAGCAGCGCCUUCACGACGGCCAUGA
rnacentral:rRNA from 1 species